AAGAUGGAAAAAAAGAGCCCAACUCAAAUAAAAACAACAGGUCGAAACAAAUCUAUCAGGAUUGGUCUACUAGACGGCCUGUUAUUAGUCUGCGAACUGCAGUGGACAUAGACUAUUACUUCAUAAUAAUUUUAGAGAAAGAGGCAUCCUACAUGUAGAACCAGAAAAUAAAUUAUAGAAAACCCCUGGGUAGACAAAUAAAGAUUACAAA